rnacentral:rRNA from 1 species
AGUGAACGCUGGCGGUAGGCCUAACACAUGCAAGUCGAACGGCAGCACAGUAAGAGCUUGCUCUUACGGGUGGCGAGUGGUGGAUGGGUGAGGAAUAAAUUGGACUCUACUUUUUCGUGGGGGAUAACGUAGGGAAACUUACGCUAAUACGGCAUACGACCUACGGGUGAAAGCAGGGGAUCUUCGGACCUUGCGCGAUUGAAUGAGCCCAUGUCGGAUUAGCUAGUUGGCGGGGUAAAGGCCCACCAAGGCGACGAUCCGUAGCUGGUGUGAGAGGAUGAUCAGCCACACUGGAACUGGGACACGGUCCAUACUCCUACGAGAGGGAGCAGUGUGGAAUAUGGGACAAUAGGGGCAAGCCUUAUCCAGCCGUACCGCGUGGGUGAAGAAGGCCUUCGGGUUGUAAAGCCCUUUUGUUGGGAGAGAAAAGCAGCAGGUUAAUACCCCGCUGUUCUGACGGUACCCAAAGAAUAAGCACCGGCUAACUUCGUG